rnacentral:rRNA from 1 species
GUGAGAAUGGAAAGUUCAUACUGUGACGGUACUUAACCAGAAAGGGACGGCUAACUACGUGCCAGCAGCCGCGGUAAUACGUAGGUCCCGAGCGUUGUCCGGAUUUAUUGGGCGUAAAGCGAGCGCAGGCGGUUAGAUAAGUCUGAAGUUAAAGGCAGUGGCUCAACCAUUGUAGGCUUUGGAAACUGUUUAACUUGAGUGCAGAAGGGGAGAGUGGAAUUCCAUGUGUAGCGGUGAAAUGCGUAGAUAUAUGGAGGAACACCGGUGGCGAAAGCGGCUCUCUGGUCUGUAACUGACGCUGAGGCUCGAAAGCGUGGGGAGCGAACAGGAUUAGAUACCCUGGUAGUCCACGCCGUAAACGAUGAGUGCUAGGUGUUAGGUCCUUUCCGGGACUUAGUGCCGCAGCUAACGCAUUAAGCACUCCGCCUGGGGAGUACGACCGCAAGGUUGAAACUCAAAGGAAUUGACGGC